CCGGUCUAACCACGUGGCUCAUCUGAAACAAAGGAGAGGGACGCGUAAUUCCAGUUCCUGCAUUCCUGCACAUGCUCAGUACAGUGAUGACAGUAUCUUAGCUACGUGUAACUAACUAACUGAUACUACAAACACAUGUACCUACAUAUGCCUUGUGGCAAUCUUGGCCUGCUAAACUUUUAUUUUACUGGAAUUCCAUCACACGCAUGCAUCAAUUUUACGAUUUACCAAAGGUAGAAAGUAGUUUGAUCAGUAAGUCUGAAUGUCGGCAUGUCACUACAGAGAACUUUUUGAUGGUUGGUGGAUUGUAUAACAUUGGAAGCAAAUAAUGCAUAUACAUAUAAAAGCACAGUUUUAUUUCAAGACCCGGAGGCUCGUUAUGCAUAUCAAUGUGUAUAUAUUGUUUUGCAAAGAAACUUACACUUGUGUAAGUUGUCAAUUUUACACUUAUUCUUUCACCCUUCAUAAAAAUAUUUUGAAAACUAAAAGCUUUAGAUCUUUAUUUUGCAAUAUUUCACACAGGGUCUGAAAUGUUUGCAUAAAGGCAAAUAUUUAAUUUCUCACAUAACAUGUGUGACAAAUUAAAAUGGUGAAAUACCUUGCGCUUUCUAGGUAGUUGCAAGAAGCCUGAAUUGAUUACUAGCGGUACAAAAAAAGUAAAAAAAAAAAAAAGUCUGCAUUUGAGCAUAAUGCCCAUAGAUAAAUAAUUUACAAUUGCUGUCACAACCUCCAGAAUGCUGGUGUCUAUUCAACCCCCAUAUUCCCUGUGGAAACAUACUGACCAAUUCUUGAAACAUCCUUGACUGUACAGAAGUAGAAGUUAGGCAGACAUUUUCAGCACUUUUGCAGACAUAUCAGUGACUUGUAGCAGAAAAAUGUGUUCCACUACAGGU